rnacentral:rRNA from 1 species
AGCAACAAAUGCCCUGCUUCCAGGAAAAGCCUCUAAGCAUCAGGUAACAUCAAAUCGUACCCCAAACCGACACAGGUGGUCAGGUAGAGAAUACCAAGGCGCUUGAGAGAACUCGGGUGAAGGAACUAGGCAAAAUGGUGCCGUAACUUCGGGAGAAGGCACGCUGACACGUAGGUGAAGUGAUUUACUCAUGGAGCUGAAGUCAGUCGAAGAUACCAGCUGGCUGCAACUGUUUAUUAAAAACACAGCACUGUGCAAACACGAAAGUGGACGUAUACGGUGUGACGCCUGCCCGGUGCCGGAAGGUUAAUUGAUGGGGUCAGCGCAAGCGAAGCUCCUGAUCGAAGCCCCGGUAAACGGCGGCCGUAACUAUAACGGUCCUAAGGUAGCGAAAUUCCUUGUCGGGUAAGUUCCGACCUGCACGAAUGGCGUAAUGAUGGCCAGGCUGUCUCCACCCGAGACUCAGUGAAAUUGAACUCGCUGUGAAGAUGCAGUGUACCCGCGGCAAGACGGAAAGACCCCGUGAACCUUUACUAUAGCUUGACACUGAACAUUGAGCCUUGAUGUGUAGGAUAGGUGGGAGGCUUUGAAGUGUGGACGCCAGUCUGCAUGGAGCCGACCUUGAAAUACCACCCUUUAAUGUUUGAUGUUCUAACGUGGACCCGUGAUCCGGGUUGCGGACAGUGUCUGGUGGGUAGUUUGACUGGGGCGGUCUCCUCCUAAAGAGUAACGGAGGAGCACGAAGGUUGGCUAAUCCUGGUCGGACAUCAGGAGGUUAGUGCAAUGGCAUAAGCCAGCUUGACUGCGAGCGUGACGGCGCGAGCAGGUGCGAAAGCAGGUCAUAGUGAUCCGGUGGUUCUGAAUGGAAGGGCCAUCGCUCAACGGAUAAAAGGUACUCCGGGGAUAACAGGCUGAUACCGCCCAAGAGUUCAUAUCGACGGCGGUGUUUGGCACCUCGAUGUCGGCUCAUCACAUCCUGGGGCUGAAGUAGGUCCCAAGGGUAUGGCUGUUCGCCAUUUAAAGUGGUACGCGAGCUGGGUUUAGAACGUCGUGAGACAGUUCGGUCCCUAUCUGCCGUGGGCGCUGGAGAACUGAGGGGGGCUGCUCCUAGUACGAGAGGACCGGAGUGGACGCAUCACUGGUGUUCGGGUUGUCAUGCCAAUGGCACUGCCCGGUAGCUAAAUGCGGAAGAGAUAAGUGCUGAAAGCAUCUAAGCACGAAACUUGCCCCGAGAUGAGUUCUCCCUGAGACUUAGAGUCUCCUGAAGGAACGUUGAAGACGACGACGUUGAUAGGCCGGGUGUGUAAGCGCAGCGAUGCGUUGAGCUAACCGGUACUAAUGAACCGUGAGGCUUAACCUU